UCAUCUUCUUUUUGGCAUGGCAAGUUGUUGGAGUUUGAUUCACUAAUCAAGACCUCUAACUUGUGUUAUUGUCUACAUUAUUAUUGACCGGCCUCAGAUAGUUGUGACUUCUACAUAAGUCCAAUUUCGAUUGUUUAACAUAGUGCUAAAUUUGCUUUAUGGCACACUAACUACUAACACUAACCAUUAACCAUUAACAUUUACUUCUUGCUCUUUACAUUUAUGCAAUUUACUAUUCUUGUACAUAUUAUU
rnacentral:lncRNA from 1 species